UGAGCAACCUACCGAACUGUGGGGGAUAGCCGGCCUAACGGCCGAGUAAUACCGCAUACGCUCUCAGUGAGGCAUUUCACUGAGAGGAAACCUACGGGACAGAUCGAGGGGCUCGCGGCCUAUCAGCUAGUUGGCGAGGUAACGGCUCACCAAGGCAACGACGGGUAGCUGGUCUGAGAGGAUGGCCAGCCACAUUGGGACUGAGAUACGGCCCAG
rnacentral:rRNA from 1 species